GACGAACGCUGGCGGCGUGCUUAACACAUGCAAGUCGAACGGUGAAGCUCCAUCUUGCUGGAGUGGAUCAGUGGCGAACGGAUGAGUAACACGUGAGCAACCUGCCCCUGACUCUGGAAUAAGCGCUGGAAACGGCGUCUAAUACUGGAUACGAGAAGGGUCCGCAUGGGCACUUUCUGGAGAGUUUUUCGGUUGGGGAUGGGCUCGCGGCCUAUCAGCUUGUUGGUGAGGUAAUGGCUCACCAAGGCGACGACGGGUAGCCGGCCUGAGAGGGCGACCGGCCACACUGGGACUGAGACACGGCCCAGACUCCUAAGGGAGGCAGCAGUGGGGAAUAUUGCACAAUGGGCGAAAGCCUGAUGCAGCGACGCCGCGUGAGGGAUGACGGCCUUCGGGUUGUAAACCUCUUUCAGCAGGGAAGAAGCGAAAGUGACGGUACCUGCAGAAGAAGCACCGGCUAACUACGUG
rnacentral:rRNA from 1 species